rnacentral:rRNA from 1 species
CCUACGGGAGGCAGCAGUGGGGAAUAUUGCACAAUGGGGGCAACCCUGAUGCAGCGACGCCGCGUGAGUGAAGACGUAUUUAUGUAUGUAAAGCUCUAUCAGCAGGGAAGAAAAUGACGGUACCUGAUUAAGAAGCCCCGGCUAACUACGUGCCAGCAGCCGCGGUAAUACGUAGGGAGCAAGCGUUAUCCGGAUUUACUGGGUGUAAAGGGGGCGUAGACGGCAGCACAAGUCUGGAGUGAAAUGCCGGGGCUUAAACCCCUAACUGCCGUUGAAACUGUGCAGCUAGAGUGCAGGAGAGGUAAGUGGAAUGCCUAGUGUAGCGGUGAAAUGCGUAGAUAUUAGGCGGAACACCAGUUGCGAAGGCGGCUUACCGGACCGCAACUGACGUUGAGGCUCGAAAGCGUGGGGAGCAAACAGGAUUAGAUACCCGGGUAGUC